CUUAUCUGUACUCCCUUCACCCCCUUGCUACUCCUGUUAUAAUAGUAUUUGCACGUAAGCACUUACUUUUUAAUGUAUAAAAACACAACUGACAAAAUAAAGGUCAGAAGCUUAUUUGGAUAACCAACAUUGAGUCUGGUGUCUAAUUCACGCUUCUCCAAAUGCACUUGAGAACAAUAAUUUGGGUUCCCCUGAAUAUCACAAAGAUCGAUAUUGGAUCUAUAUAUCAUAAAGUGGCAAAUGCCAAAAUCCGCUUUAGCUGGUGACCAUUUUAACACAUUAUAAAUAGGGAUAAUAACUUAUGUCUCUUGAUAAAGAAAUAGAAUAGUAAAAACUCAUAAAAAGGGGCUUUCAGGAAAUUGUAAAAUACAAA